GCACCGGCAAAAUCCGGUGCCGGGAUUAGGACCCUGCCAAAGACAGAUGCAUAUCAAAAGGCCAGUAUUGU
rnacentral:misc_RNA from 1 species